rnacentral:rRNA from 1 species
GACGAACGCUGGCGGCGUGCCUAAUACAUGCAAGUAGAACGCAGUUGAGAAGGGGGGAGGAAGGCGUAGGAAACGGCCUCAUCGCGGGGGAUAACGAGGGGAAACGAUAGCUAAUACGGCAUACUGUGAGAUGGACCUGCGUUGUAUUACGUAGUUGGUGAGGUAAAGGGUCACCAAGGCGACGACACAUAGCCGACCUGAGAGGGGUGUGGGCCAACAUUGGACCGAGAACACGCCCCGACUCCCUAGGGAGGCAGCAGUAGGGAAACUUCGGGAAUUGACGGAAGUCUGACCGAGCAACGGCGCCGUAGGGGAGAAGGUUUUCGGAUCCUAAAGCUCCGUUGGUUGAGAAGCGGUAUCUAACCAGAAAGGGACGGCUAACUACGUGCCAGCAGCCGCGGUAAUAC